UACGAAGGGGGCUAGCGUUGCUCGGAAUCACUGGGCGUAAAGGGUGCGUAGGCGGGGCUUUAAGUCAGGGGUGAAAUCCUGGAGCUCAACUCCAGAACUGCCUUUGAUACUGAAGAUCUUGAGUUCGGGAGAGGUGAGUGGAACUGCGAGUGUAGAGGUGAAAUUCGUAGAUAUUCGCAAGAACACCAGUGGCGAAGGCGGCUUACUGGUCCGGUUCUGACGCUGAGGCGCGAAAGCGUGGGGAGCAAACAGG
rnacentral:rRNA from 1 species